AUAAACCAAUUCGAAAUCUGACAUUUAAGCUAACAUUACAAAUUCAAACCUGGGAAACACAAGAGAUUCGACGGCGACACACUUUACUACUUCCGACGGCGAAGAUGGGAUUCGACGGCGACAAACUUCACUAUUUCAGACGACGAAGAUGGGAUUCAACGGCGACAAACUUCACAAUUUCCAUUGGAGGAAUAACAGAAAGAGAUUCGACGGCGACAAACUUCACUAUUUCCGACGGCGAAGAUGGGAUUCGACGGCGACAAACUUCACUAUUUCCGACGGCAUAGGAUUCAACGGCGACAAACUUCACAAUUUCCGAUGGAGGAAGAAGAGAGAGAGAGAGAGAGAGAGAGAGGAAAUGAAUUAGGUCAGAAGUGUGUGUAGCUCAGUAAGGGUAAUUUGGGGAUAAAAGUAUUAGAAGGGGUAAAAAUGAAAAUGGAAAAAAGGGUAGAGUUGAAAAAGGGCAUUGAGAAAAGGGCAUUAGAGUGAAUUAUUCAAGAAAAAAAUGAACCAGAACGAGUCUGAUAAAAAUUUGGUAAGUUACAGUUAUUGAUUCAAAAAUUUAAUUUUGUUUUUUUAUUUAAAAUUACGGUUAUCAUUUAUUUAAGUUUUAGUGUUUACCCAUUGCACAUUGCACCUUAAAUAAAUGACUCAUAAAAUCUCUAUCCAUUGCACAUGCUCUAAAUGAGUUAUCGACUGUCACGUCAUCGAUACAUAGAAGGGCUAUGUUGCAGGAGAUUUUUUAGAUUGUGGUUUGUAUUUAUUUGACAUGAAGGUUUAUUUUGCAAAAAAAA
rnacentral:sRNA from 1 species